UACGUAGGGUGCAAGCGUUAAUCGGAAUUACUGGGCGUAAAGCGUGCGCAGGCGGCUUUGCAAGACAGAUGUGAAAUCCCCGGGCUUAACCUGGGAACUGCAUUUGUGACUGCAUGGCUAGAGUGCGGCAGAGGGGGAUGGAAUUCCGCGUGUAGCAGUGAAAUGCGUAGAUAUCUGGAGGAACACCGGUGGCGAAGGCGGCAUCCCUGGACCAAUUCUGACGCUGAGGAGCGAAAGCCAGGGGAGCAAACGGG
rnacentral:rRNA from 1 species